rnacentral:rRNA from 1 species
CAGUCGCCGCGGUAAUACGAAGGGUGCAAGCGUUAAUCGGAAUUACUGGGCGUAAAGCGUGCGUAGGCGGUUUGUUAAGUCUGUUGUGAAAUCCCCGGGCUCAACCUGGGAAUGGCAAUGGAUACUGGCAAGCUAGAGUGUGUCAGAGGAUGGUGGAAUUCCCGGUGUAGCGGUGAAAUGCGUAGAGAUCGGGAGGAACAUCAGUGGCGAAGGCGGCCAUCUGGGACAACACUGACGCUGAGGCACGAAAGCGUGGAGAGCAAACAGGAUUAGAUACCCCUGUAGUCCCUGUCUCUUAUAC